UUGACUUGAUUGUUCUGGUGUUUUUUUAACUCGGCUGUAUGUAUUUGUUUGUUCACGCUGAUUUCUCCGACUGCCCGAAAUUUUCCAUAUUCUCAGUUUAUGUGUAUAUCUGUCAUCACAGGGACACGAAGAAAGAAUCCAAUCUGGCGAAAGCCCGUGCGGCUCUGGACUCAGAGGCCACAGAGCGUGAACGUCUGCAGGUGAAGUUGUCCAAGCUGAAGAUUGAUUUUGACGAGCUGGAAGCAAGGAAGUCGCAUCACAUUCAAAUCCUUAAAGGUGAGCUGGAGUUUGAAAAGAAGCUGCAUUCCGCGGACUUGCGCAUGGUCCAAAGCCAGCACGAGUCUCGCAUGGUGGAGUUGGAAGCCGGCCAAAAAGUGAAAGAUCUGGAGGAGGCUCUGUCUACAGAGAGGGAGCGGACCCAGAACAAGGAGGAGAGGUCUUUUUACAGCUUUAGAACAUACCACAACGUUUGCUCUCAUAGCAAUUAAUGUCUCCACGUUUGUCCCCAGGGUACGCCAAACCAUGUCGGCCAGCAAAAAGAGGAAACGUCCGAAGGACAGCGAGGGUUUGAGCUCGGGCGGAUGCAAUGUGCCUCGUCCUAAAAUCGCCCAGCAGGUCACUGUGGAUGAGCAGCAGGUCACUGUGGAUGAGCAGCAGGUCACUCUGGAUGAGGUGGACUCGUACGGCAAAUAUGUCAGACUCAGCAAUACAGUUGAUGAGGAUCAGAAUUUGGGGAACUGGCAGGUGAAGCUCCAGAUUGGAUCUUCUGCUCCCAUCGUAUUCAAGUUUGCCGCAGAAUUCAUCCUGAAGGCC